UACGGAGAGUGCAAACGUUGUUCGGAUUCACUGGGCGUAAAGGGUGCGUAGGCGGUCGCGCAAGUCGGAUGUGAAAUCUCAGGGCUCAACCCUGAAACUGCAUUCGAUACUGCGUGGCUAGAGUGCUGGAGGGGAGACUGGAAUUUACGGUGUAGCAGUGAAAUGCGUAGAUAUCGUAAGGAAGACCAGUGGCGAAGGCGAGUCUCUGGACAGCAACUGACGCUGAGGCACGAAGGCCAGGGGAGCAAACGGG
rnacentral:rRNA from 1 species